AUGCCAGCGGGGGGAGAGGGAACCCGUGCGGACACACACACACACACACCCGCGCAGCUACAGCAAGCCCCCUGAAGGGGCUACAGCUAACAAGGUAACUGUCACUUCUGCGAGAGAGCAAAACCAACUGAACUGAUAAAACAGAAUUGAAGACUGACUCCACCCCAAGGACUUAAAAUAGAUACCCUUGCCAUGUACUGCAGUACAUGCUGGAAAUACCUUUUAGGAAAGCUGAAUGAUACAUUCAAGGAUCGGUUGCUUUGAGACUGAAAGAAUUCCCAUGGCUCCCCACCCUUUCCACUGAGUAACUGAUGUCUAACCUGGAAACAGAAGAGAAAGUUGCAGGCAUGAUGGAGUUGAAGAAGACCGAAAGGGAACUCUUACCUGCAUACCCCACAGAGACACCCAGAUGCUCCGAGCAGUUUGUGAGCAGUCCCGUCAUGAGGACUAGGAGGAUGAGGGGAUUGCAGUGCAUGGUGGCUGUUUGAUGCAAGUGACCAGUACUGAAUGAAGGCCCUUUAUAUAGUGAGGUAUGCAGAAACAGAGAGGAGCAUUAGGGUGGCAAAAGCAACUUCCUGACAAGUAGGGGCACUCUGAAACUCAUCUGUUUUGUUCAGGGUGACUUCCUGUUCUUGAUGAAGUACUAUUACAUUUCAGUUAGGGACAUCUUGGAGCCAUAAAGCAAAUGGAAAUCACCUUUCUGACAAGGUCAGAAAGGGUACAGUCCCUAUAACAUGGUAUUUAUAUAAACCUGUCUUUUUUGUUAUCGCAAAUGUUCCUUCUUUUUCUCUAGGUUUAUGUAUAGCCUGCUCAUGAUAUGGGUCCAAUGAAUGCACAAGCUGUGCAUAGCUCCUUGAAUAUAUCUCAGCCACUGGACUCGUGAGAAGGCGGGGGGGGGGUAAGAUCUAAAAGGUGGGCUGUGUAGAAAGGCUUGCUUUUUGACCAGUGAUCUUCACUAUUUUUCAAGUCCGGGCCACUUUGGCAGUCCCAAGAGUCACCAGCCAUCACUGGGUAACUGCCCUUAUUUCUGCUAGCAAAGUGCAAGCUGAGCAACACAAAACACUCUUACAAGGAGGUGGCCUCAUGACAUAUACCUGUAUGAUGUUGAAGGCAAUGAAAAGACCUGGAUAUCAGAAAAUUCUACCUGCAUACAAACUUGACAUGCUUUGGGUGUAGAAGGCAACAAAAAUUACCUGGUUACCAGGAAAUCCUACCAGUAGGUAAACUUUGUUUCCUUGUGUUAAUUAGACAAUGGUUGUCUGAUUGUAUCUUGAUUGAGCAGCCACAGGAACUUGCUCCAGGGGUUCACUCACCUCAGACCAAUCUGAAAAAUGUUGACAUCUAAGCCAGCCCGCUUUGGAAACUUAUGGACUGAGCUCUACACUCCACUUGCAACCAUGCCAUCAGAAUGAUACAAGUGACAACUAGCCACAACAUGGGUGUGGACAGGUUCCCAAAUCCACUUUCUGUUAGGAGGAUUCCUUUUUGAGACCCUGAAAUAACUCCUCCCUCAUCUUAUGACAAUUUCACAGUGCCAAUUAUAACCUCCUAAACACCUUUGUCUCCAUUUGUAUGGAGACCAACUUUACAGCUACAAUUUGGGGGAGAGGACCCUUGAUGUUGGGGACAGGACUGCAAACAAAAGUGUAUUAUUUUCAGAUCCACCAUAUAUCUGCCAAUAUUUGCUUGAACUUGAAGCAACA